UGUUAAAAAUUUCAUUCAUUUCUACUGUUAAAAAUUGAAACAACUGACGAAAUAAUGCCAUAGGUGUACUUCAUGUUGACGUACAAUGAUUGAUUUUUAACAGUAACAAUGGUUGAAAUUGUUAACA
rfam:Gossypium hirsutum cultivar TM-1 chromosome 24, whole genome shotgun sequence